rnacentral:rRNA from 1 species
CAGUAGCCGCGGUAAUACAGAGGGUGCGAGCGUUAAUCGGAUUUACUGGGCGUAAAGCGUGCGUAGGCGGCUUCUUAAGUCGGAUGUGAAAUCCCUGAGCUUAACUUAGGAAUUGCAUUCGAUACUGGGAAGCUAGAGUAUGGGAGAGGAUGGUAGAAUUCCAGGUGUAGCGGUGAAAUGCGUAGAGAUCUGGAGGAAUACCGAUGGCGAAGGCAGCCAUCUGGCCUAAUACUGACGCUGAGGUACGAAAGCGUGGGGAGCAAACAGGAUUAGAUACCCCGGUAGUCCCUGUCUCUUAUAC